rnacentral:misc_RNA from 1 species
CUAUAUAGACUGAACUCAACUCAACAAAGCCUUCAUCACAAUCUAGUUGCAGCCAACCUUAUGGAUUAUUUCCCUCCAAAAAAUAUUUCAAUCACGUUUAAUCUUGCACUCAGUAAAUGAUAUUAUCAUCAAAUUAACACACAUGUUAAAUAAUGCACCCACUUGUGGACGACAACAAAAGAUAACACCUUAGUGAAGAAGAGUUGGCCCAGAAGAUAAGAUAGAACAGAAGUGCUUGCUAUUGAUGCUUCAGAUUUUGAAUUGCAAUAAACUUCAGUUCUCAUGCUAUGUGCUUGACUUUAGAGAUGGAAAUUUUACCACAUCCCCACCAAUGGUAAAAGGGCAAGGAUGGGUUUGCGGUGCCCCAACCGCAACCCAAUUUUACCUGGGAAAUCCAAUAACUGCUAGAGUGUUGCCAUCACCCUUCCAUGCAGUUACUUUUCCAGAUUGCUAAACCUAAAGAAACAACUCCACACUAUCUCCACUAUGCACAUGACAGCAAGCAAUUAGAAACAAAAAUAUUAACGGGAGUGCAAAUAACCAACUGAGAACUCCAGGAUCAUUUUUGGCUCUUUCAAGAAAAUCAAUUACGAUUUUAAGGUGGGAAUACUCAAUGGGAUAAUUGACACGAAGAAUGGAUAAAAACCAAAUUAUUGGACCUACAAUUUUAAGUCUCUAUAAUUCAGGCACCAGCAUGUGACAUUUCUGCUUGACCUCAUUCUCUUUAUAAACCUUCUUUAUCAAUAGCAUGAGGGCAACAAAAACAAAACCCUCCUUUUUCAGUAUUAAAAGAGUAAAGCCUCUCUGCAAUUAAGAUAUAACAAAUGGCACAAGAUAAAAUCCAAAACUGUGAUCAGUUUGCACAAAUUCACAUAUGCAAAUAACAAUACCAAUAAGAACUAUUAAGGAAUUGCAAGUAACAAAAUUCCACAACAAGGAUUCCAUAUCUCAAAACUUAUAUCACUCAAUAAAUGCAGCCAUCCAGUAUCCAGAUCGAACCAAUACCACCGAGUAAGUAAGGUUAUAUU